AGUUGUAAGGGGUAAUUGACAUUUUCUUCAGUAAUAUCAAGGGCCAUUACUCUAUACUCAGUUGUUCAAGAGAUACCAUAAAUGUCCUGAUGCAAUGAUAUGACACCUCGGUUAGAUAAAAUAAGCCUAACAUCUUAUCCUUCCAUGUCAUUUCUACUCAUGAUGGAAAAAACACAAUAUUAUUCUGAGAGCAUCUUUGUCUGCAUCGAUCAAACAAUGAAAUAGAAGUUCUGACAGAGUUAUAGUGAAAACAACUGAUUUAAGAGGGAACGCCACAUAAAAGUCAGUUCGAUAACCACAUAAAAACAUGAGUGAUAAUGUUAGAGUAAGUUUAAAAAAGACUCCAUCUAUCAUGAAAAAAUAAUGCAAUAUAUACAAAGAAACACUCAAAUACAA
rnacentral:misc_RNA from 1 species